GUAUGAAAAAGGUGGAAGAAGAAAAAAGAAAAAACGAUAUGACCGCCCGCCUGCGUACAGCAGGAGCCAUGAUAAGAGACCUCUAACUACAUGACCUCUAACUGCAUGACCCUACAACAGCAGGUCUCCUACAGCAUGACCCAAACAACAGCAAUGUUUAAAUAAACUACACAUAACUUGCAUAACUCCUGGUUAAAUAAAGGUUAAAUAAAAAAUAAAAAAA